rnacentral:rRNA from 1 species
GUGAACGCUAGCGGCGGGCUUAACACAUGCAAGUCGAGCGGGGAACUUCGGUUCCCAGCGGCGAACGGGUGAGUAACGCGUAGGUAAUGUGCCUCCUGGUGGGGAACAACCGUGGGAAACCAUGGCUCAUUCCGCAUGACGCCGAAAGGUGAAAGCAGCAAUGCGCCGGGAGAGCAGCCUGCGUCCCAUUAUUUAUUCCUAGUUGGUGGGGUAACGGCCUACCAAGGGUACGAUGGGUAGCUGGUCUGAGAGGAUGAUCAGCCACACUGGAACUGAGACACGGUCCAGACUCCUACGGGAGGCAGCAGUGGGGAGUAUUGCGCAAUGGGCGAAAGCCUGACGCAGCCACGCCGCGUGAGGGAUGAAGGCCUUCGGGUUGUAAAGCUCUGUCGCGGGGGAAGAAACAAAUGACGGUACCCCGUGAGAAAGCACCGGCUAACUCUGU